AGGACAUGUGGGUUAGGCAGAAGUAGA
rnacentral:miRNA from 1 species